rnacentral:rRNA from 1 species
GGACGAACGCUGGCGGCGUGCUUAACACAUGCAAGUCGAGCGGGGUUUAUCGGAUUAGCUUGCUAAACUGAUAAACCUAGCGGCGGACGGGUGAGUAACGCGUGAGCAAUCUGCCUCAUACAGGGGGAUAACAGGUGGAAACACCUGCUAAUACCGCAUAAGGCUCCACUACCGCAUGGUAGAGAAGUCAAAGGGAUUACCGGUAUGAGAUGAGCUCGCGUCCCAUUAGCUAGUUGGUAGGGUAAAGGCCUACCAAGGCGACGAUGGGUAGCCGACCUGAGAGGGUGAUCGGCCACACUGGGACUGAGACACGGCCCAGACUCCUACGGGAGGCAGCAGUGGGGAAUAUUGCACAAUGGAGGGAACUCUGAUGCAGCAACGCCGCGUGAGUGAAGAAGGUUUUCGGAUCGUAAAACUCUGUCAUUGGGGAAGAAUAAAUGACGGUACCCAAUGAGGAAGCCCCGGCUAACUACGUGCCAGCAGCCGCGGUAAUACGUAGGGGGCGAGCGUUGUCCGGAAUUACUGGGCGUAAAGGGUACGUAGGCGGCUAUAUAAGUCAGGUGUGAAAUACCAGUGCUUAACACUGGAAUUGCAUUUGAAACUGUGUAGCUUGAGUGCAGGAGAGGAAAGUGGAAUUCCUAGUGUAGCGGUGAAAUGCGUAGAGAUUAGGAGGAACACCAGUGGCGAAGCGACUUUCUGGACUGUAACUGACGCUGAGGUACGAAAGCGUGGGUAGCGAACAGGAUUAGAUACCCUGGUAGUCCACGCCGUAAACGAUGGAUACUAGGUGUAGGGGGUAUCGACCCCCCCUGUGCCGGAGUUAACGCAAUAAGUAUCCCGCCUGGGGAGUACGGCCGCAAGGCUG